rnacentral:lncRNA from 1 species
AAUGCGCAAGGGACAGCAGCGUCACGGAGAAAAACCUUGUCCUUGUCCUUGAAGGACGGACAGCACAGCGGCGCGGCGCGGGGUGCAGACCCGGGCUCUGGCGCCCCGUCCACCUGGGCGCCUCUGCGGGAGGAGCCCGGCCGGGCGGCCCGCGUGACCGAGGCCAGGGCCAGGACGGCAGGGCCCCCGCGGGGGCCGGAGCGCGUGGAGCCGGGGAGACCCAGCCGGCGGGGAAGACGGACGGCGGGAAGGACGCGGCCGAAGGGCCUAGUCUCAUUUCUACAGGCAGUAUGAACACUCUCAUCUACUUCGGCAAUUAAAUCAGAAAAACUCAAGUUCAAGAAUAAGCCUGUCAGCAGAAAUGUACAAGAAUAAACCUGUCAGCAGUCCAUGUAUGUUGUCAACGCCUCUGAAAUCCUACUGGCUCAUUUUUUUCCCCCUCUGCUUUUAUUGUUUGUCUCUGGACAAGUUCUGACAGUCAAUUUUGCAUUUGGUGUUUUAAUCUUCAACUAUGAAAGAGAAGACAUGAAAAAGAUGGACACUCUCUUGAAAACAUCCACACCAUGCCAUUCUGCCCAGGAAGAAUAAGCAGUGAUUCUGUACACUAUGCAGUUAAGAAUCUUAAACCUAAGAAACACAUACACAAAUCUCAACCUGUUUUCAUUUACUUCUAAGCAACAAAGCUCAUGUUAAAGCACUGGAUCGUGAAGUUUUUUUUCAGCUCUACUUUUUCCAUGAAGAAGAAGACUGAUGUUACCAAUGAUUACAUGUCUUCCCUGCAGGGUGGGAAAUGAGUCUGGGUGUAAAAAAAGUUAAUUAACCGCAGCUAUACACAACUACUAUUUGUCAAUUAAAAAUAAGGUGAAAAAGAAAAAGAUGUUAAUUAAAUGUUUACUUUGCCUUCUAUGGUGGGUAAUGGAAAGGGUCUGUGUGGAAUAAACCACUGCUAUUAAUUCACCUGUAUACAACUGACAUGCAAUGAGUGUCCGUAGGUUAACUGGGUUUUCAGGCACAAAAUUAAUUUUCAAAAAGGUUUAGCUACAAAGGUUUUUACUUCUACUAUCCAGCAUUGAGUAAAGGUUCAAGGAUAAACAUUCCUAAUGUAGUGGGUUCUAUUUCUUUCACAUUGAACUCUAAUUUUAAGCAAAAUACAUACAAUAAUAUGAAACAAGCCACACAAUUUCUG